rnacentral:rRNA from 1 species
UGGGGAAUAUUGCGCAAUGGGCGGAAGCCUGACGCAGCGACGCCGCGUGGGGGAUGACGGCCUUCGGGUUGUAAACCCCUUUCAGCAGGGACGAAGCUUUCGGGUGACGGUACCUGCAGAAGAAGCGCCGGCUAACUACGUGCCAGCAGCCGCGGUAAUACGUAGGGCGCAAGCGUUGUCCGGAAUUAUUGGGCGUAAAGAGCUCGUAGGCGGUUUGUCGCGUCUGUCGUGAAAGCCCACGGCUUAACCGUGGGUCUGCGGUGGAUACGGGCAGACUAGAGGCAGGUAGGGGAGAAUGGAAUUCCCGGUGUAGCGGUGAAAUGCGCAGAUAUCGGGAGGAACACCGGUGGCGAAGGCGGUUCUCUGGGCCUGUACUGACGCUGAGGAGCGAAAGCGUGGGGAGCGAAC